rnacentral:rRNA from 1 species
CCUACGGUGCGCAGCAGUCGAGAAUCAUUCACAAUGGGGGAAACCCUGAUGGUGCGACGCCGCGUGGGGGAAUGAAGGUCUUCGGAUUGUAAACCCCUGUCAUGUGGGAGCAAAUUAAAAAGAUAGUACCACAAGAGGAAGAGACGGCUAACUCUGUGACAGCAGCCGCGGUAAUACAGAGGUCUCAAGCGUUGUUCGGAAUCACUGGGCGUAAAGCGUGCGUAGGCUGUUUCGUAAGUCGUGUGUGAAAGGCGCGGGCUCAACCCGCGGACGGCACAUGAUACUGCGAGACUAGAGUAAUGGAGGGGGAACCGGAAUUCUCGGUGUAGCAGUGAAAUGCGUAGAUAUCGAGAGGAACACUCGUGGCGAAGGCGGGUUCCUGGACAUUAACUGACGCUGAGGCACGAAGGCCAGGGGAGCGAAAGGGAUUAGAUACCCCUGUAGUC